AUGUCACAUUUCCCGGUUCGAGAUGUUUCAUCUUUUCUUUCCGGAGUUCCAAGUUCUCUCGGCUAUAUCAUCGUGAAGCUCCAUCUAAAUCAUCGCAAGGCUUCACCUUGUGUUUUCAACUUCUCUUUCUUUCUAUCAUCCUUUUAUUACGGGAGUUCUUCAUGGAAGAUCUACAUGAUGGUUCAUGAAGGAUUCCUUUCAUUCUUCAAUUGUUCUUCAAGAUUUCUCUUGAAGCUAAGAUCCCCCAAGCUUUACCCUAAAAUAAACAUGGUGCUCAACACAUGUCUUGUUUUGAGGAGUUCAAGUAUUCUUCUUUUGCAUUUCGAAGUGCAAUUCCUUCUACCUUAUCUCUUGAGGUGGUGUUAUGUCAUUCUUGACAAUUUGAGUUCGUGUUUCAUGAUUCACAUGUUGUCAAGAAUGAGAUAUUUUAAAAACCAUCAUUUUUCUCUUCGAUCAUGA
rnacentral:rRNA from 1 species